AGUGAACGCUGGCGGUAGGCCUAACACAUGCAAGUCGAACGGCAGCACAGUAAGAUCUUGCUCUUACGGGUGGCGAGUGGCGGACGGGUGAGGAAUACAUCGGAAUCUACUUUUUCGUGGGGGAUAACGUAGGGAAACUUACGCUAAUACCGCAUACGACCUACGGGUGAAAGCAGGGGAUCUUCGGACCUUGCGCGAUUGAAUGAGCCGAUGUCGGAUUAGCUAGUUGGCGGGGUAAAGGCCCACCAAGGCGACGAUCCGUAGCUGGUCUGAGAGGAUGAUCAGCCACACUGGAACUGAGCCAGGGUCCAGACUCCUACGGGAGGCAGCAGUGGGGAAUAUUGGACAAUGGGCGCAAGCCUGAUCCAGCCAUACCGCGUGGGUGAAGAAGGCCUUCGGGUUGUAAAGCCCUUUUGUUGGGAAAGAAAAGCAGCAGGUUGAUACCCCGCUGUUCUGACGGUACCCAAAGAAUAAGCACCGGCUAACUUCGUG
rnacentral:rRNA from 1 species